GGGUCGUUAGCUCAGUUGGUAGAGCAGUUGACUUUUAAUCAAUUGGUCGCAGGUAGUCAUCCUGCACGACCCACCA
rnacentral:tRNA from 1 species